rnacentral:rRNA from 1 species
UACGUAGGUGGCAAGCGUUAUCCGGAUUUACUGGGUGUAAAGGGUGAGUAGGCGGCAUGGUAAGCCAGAUGUGAAAGCCUUGGGCUUAACCCGAGGAUUGCAUUUGGAACUAUCAAGCUAGAGUACAGGAGAGGAAAGCGGAAUUCCUAGUGUAGCGGUGAAAUGCGUAGAUAUUAGGAAGAACACCAGUGGCGAAGGCGGCUUUCUGGACUGAAACUGACGCUGAGGCACGAAAGCGUGGGGAGCGAACAGG